rnacentral:rRNA from 1 species
AGUGAACGCUGGCGGUAGGCCUAACACAUGCAAGUCGAACGGCAGCACAGUAAGAGCUUGCUCUUACGGGUGGCGAGUGGCGGACGGGUGAGGAAUACAUCGGAAUCUACUUUUUCGUGGGGGAUAACGUAGGGAAACUUACGCUAAUACCGCAUACGACCUACGGGUGAAAGCAGGGGAUCUUCGGACCUUGCGCGAAUGAAUGAGCCGAUGUCGGAUUAGCUAGGUGGCGGGGUAAAGGCCCACCAAGGCGACGAUCCGUAGCUGGUCUGAGAGGAUGAUCAGCCACACUGGAACUGAGACACGGUCCAGACUCCUACGGGAGGCAGCAGUGGGGAAUAUUGGACAAUGGGCGCAAGCCUGAUCCAGCCAUACCGCGUGGGUGAAGAAGGCCUUCGGGUUGUAAAGCCCUUUUGUUGGGAAAGAAAAGCAGCAGGUUAAUACCCCGCUGUUCUGACGGUACCCAAAGAAUAAGCACCGGCUAACUUCGUG